UUAAGCGACUAAGCGUACACGGUGGAUGCCCUGGCAGUCAGAGGCGAUGAAGGACGUGCUAAUCUGCGAUAAGCGUCGGUAAGGUGAUAUGAACCGUUAUAACCGGCGAUUUCCGAAUGGGGAAACCCAGUGUGAUUCGUCACACUAUCAUUAACUGAAUCCAUAGGUUAAUGAGGCGAACCGGGGGAACUGAAACAUCUAAGUACCCCGAGGAAAAGAAAUCAACCGAGAUUCCCCCAGUAGCGGCGAGCGAACGGGGAGCAGCCCAGAGCCUGAAUCAGUGUGUGUGUUAGUGGAAGCGUCUGGAAAGGCGUGCGAUACAGGGUGACAGCCCCGUACACAAAAAUGCACAUGCUGUGAGCUCGAUGAGUAGGGCGGGACACGUGGUAUCCUGUCUGAAUAUGGGGGGACCAUCCUCCAAGGCUAAAUACUCCUGACUGACCGAUAGUGAACCAGUACCGUGAGGGAAAGGCGAAAAGAACCCCGGCGAGGGGAGUGAAAAAGAACCUGAAACCGUGUACGUACAAGCAGUGGGAGCACAGAGCAAUCUGUGUGACUGCGUACCUUUUGUAUAAUGGGUCAGCGACUUAUAUUCUGUAGCAAGGUUAACCGAAUAGGGGAGCCGAAGGGAAACCGAGUCUUAACUGGGCGUUAAGUUGCAGGGUAUAGACCCGAAACCCGGUGAUCUAGCCAUGGGCAGGUUGAAGGUUGGGUAACACUAACUGGAGGACCGAACCGACUAAUGUUGAAAAAUUAGCGGAUGACUUGUGGCUGGGGGUGAAAGGCCAAUCAAACCGGGAGAUAGCUGGUUCUCCCCGAAAGCUAUUUAGGUAGCGCCUCGUGAAUUCAUCUCCGGGGUAGAGCACUGUUUCGGCAAGGGGGUCAUCCCGACUUACCAACCCGAUGCAAACUGCGAAUACCGGAGAAUGUUAUCACGGGAGACACACGGCGGGUGCUAACGUCCGUCGUGAAGAGGGAAACAACCCAGACCGCCAGCUAAGGUCCCAAAGUCAUGGUUAAGUGGGAAACGAUGUGGGAAGGCCCAGACAGCCAGGAUGUUGGCUUAGAAGCAGCCAUCAUUUAAAGAAAGCGUAAUAGCUCACUGGUCGAGUCGGCCUGCGCGGAAGAUGUAACGGGGCUAAACCAUGCACCGAAGCUGCGGCAGCGACGCUUAUGCGUUGUUGGGUAGGGGAGCGUUCUGUAAGCCUGCGAAGGUGUGCUGUGAGGCAUGCUGGAGGUAUCAGAAGUGCGAAUGCUGACAUAAGUAACGAUAAAGCGGGUGAAAAGCCCGCUCGCCGGAAGACCAAGGGUUCCUGUCCAACGUUAAUCGGGGCAGGGUGAGUCGACCCCUAAGGCGAGGCCGAAAGGCGUAGUCGAUGGGAAACAGGUUAAUAUUCCUGUACUUGGUGUUACUGCGAAGGGGGGACGGAGAAGGCUAUGUUGGCCGGGCGACGGUUGUCCCGGUUUAAGCGUGUAGGCUGGUUUUCCAGGCAAAUCCGGAAAACUAAGGCUGAGGCGUGAUGACGAGGCACUACGGUGCUGAAGCAACAAAUGCCCUGCUUCCAGGAAAAGCCUCUAAGCAUCAGGUAACAUCAAAUCGUACCCCAAACCGACACAGGUGGUCAGGUAGAGAAUACCAAGGCGCUUGAGAGAACUCGGGUGAAGGAACUAGGCAAAAUGGUGCCGUAACUUCGGGAGAAGGCACGCUGAUAUGUAGGUGAAGCGACUUGCUCGUGGAGCUGAAAUCAGUCGAAGAUACCAGCUGGCUGCAACUGUUUAUUAAAAACACAGCACUGUGCAAACACGAAAGUGGACGUAUACGGUGUGACGCCUGCCCGGUGCCGGAAGGUUAAUUGAUGGGGUCAGCGCAAGCGAAGCUCUUGAUCGAAGCCCCGGUAAACGGCGGCCGUAACUAUAACGGUCCUAAGGUAGCGAAAUUCCUUGUCGGGUAAGUUCCGACCUGCACGAAUGGCGUAAUGAUGGCCAGGCUGUCUCCACCCGAGACUCAGUGAAAUUGAACUCGCUGUGAAGAUGCAGUGUACCCGCGGCAAGACGGAAAGACCCCGUGAACCUUUACUAUAGCUUGACACUGAACAUUGAGCCUUGAUGUGUAGGAUAGGUGGGAGGCUUUGAAGUGUGGACGCCAGUCUGCAUGGAGCCGACCUUGAAAUACCACCCUUUAAUGUUUGAUGUUCUAACGUUGACCCGUGAUCCGGGUUGCGGACAGUGUCUGGUGGGUAGUUUGACUGGGGCGGUCUCCUCCUAAAGAGUAACGGAGGAGCACGAAGGUUGGCUAAUCCUGGUCGGACAUCAGGAGGUUAGUGCAAUGGCAUAAGCCAGCUUGACUGCGAGCGUGACGGCGCGAGCAGGUGCGAAAGCAGGUCAUAGUGAUCCGGUGGUUCUGAAUGGAAGGGCCAUCGCUCAACGGAUAAAAGGUACUCCGGGGAUAACAGGCUGAUACCGCCCAAGAGUUCAUAUCGACGGCGGUGUUUGGCACCUCGAUGUCGGCUCAUCACAUCCUGGGGCUGAAGUAGGUCCCAAGGGUAUGGCUGUUCGCCAUUUAAAGUGGUACGCGAGCUGGGUUUAGAACGUCGUGAGACAGUUCGGUCCCUAUCUGCCGUGGGCGCUGGAGAACUGAGGGGGGCUGCUCCUAGUACGAGAGGACCGGAGUGGACGCAUCACUGGUGUUCGGGUUGUCAUGCCAAUGGCACUGCCCGGUAGCUAAAUGCGGAAGAGAUAAGUGCUGAAAGCAUCUAAGCACGAAACUUGCCCCGAGAUGAGUUCUCCCUGACUCCUUGAGAGUCCUGAAGGAACGUUGAAGACGACGACGUUGAUAGGCCGGGUGUGUAAGCGCAGCGAUGCGUUGAGCUAACCGGUACUAAUGAACCGUGAGGCUUAACCU
rnacentral:rRNA from 1 species